CUUUGAUGCCGAUAAGCUCUUCUUAAUCAUAAUCACUAGCCUGAAUUGUUUCUUAGCUUUGUAUCACCUCUGUGCUUCAGUUUAAAAAGAAAAAAAUAAAGGAAAACCGCUCGGAAACCUUCUUCAUCUCAAAGUAGCUUUAUGGAUUUAGCUGCUUAUAUGACUUGACAGUGCUUUGUUUGGUCUGCUGCACUUAUCACAUGUUUCUGCCUGCCUGCCUGUGAGGAAACACUCGAAUGUACCACGGGCGGAAACCCGAACUUCCUGAAAGAGUCCGAAUGAGUGUUUAUGGAAAUGUCCCAUUAAGAACACAGGUGGUCAUUUCUUUAUUUGAAACAAACAAAAAAAAGGUUUAGAGUAUAUAGAUAGCAAUAUUUAAGUGUUAUUAAACUGUUUGUGUAUUUUUUCCUGUCACUGUUAAAGCCCUGCCCUGUGUGGGGUUGUACAUGCAGGACUGUGAAAGACAUCUUGUGGACUUUUGGGGAAAAACAAUAAAUAAACACAAUCUAAUGUUUCA